rnacentral:rRNA from 1 species
CCCAGACUCCUACGGGAGGCAGCAGUGGGGGAUAUUGCACAAUGGGGGGAACCCUGAUGCAGCGACGCCGCGUGGGUGAAGGAGCGUUUCGGCGCGUAAAGCCCUAUCGGCAGGGAAGAAGGAGGACGGUACCUGACUAAGAAGCCCCGGCUAACUACGUGCCAGCAGCCGCGGUAAUACGUAGGGGGCAAGCGUUAUCCGGAUUUACUGGGUGUAAAGGGGGCGCAGACGGCAGCGCAAGCCAGGAGUGAAAGCCCGGGGCCCAACCCCGGGACUGCUCUUGGAACUGCGCGGCUGGAGUGCAGGAGGGGCAGGCGGAAUUCCUGGUGUAGCGGUGAAAUGCGUAGAUAUCAGGAGGGACACCGGUGGCGAAGGCGGCCUGCUGGACUGCGACUGACGUUGAGGCCCGAAAGCGUGGGGAGCAAACAGGAUUAGAUACCCCCGUAC